rnacentral:rRNA from 1 species
UACAGAGGUCUCAAGCGUUGUUCGGAUUCAUUGGGCGUAAAGGGUGCGUAGGCGGCGCGGUAAGUCGGGUGUGAAAUCUCGGAGCUUAACUCCGAAACUGCAUUCGAUACUGCCGUGCUUGAGGAUUGGGGAGGAGACUGGAAUUUACGGUGUAGCGGUGAAAUGCGUAGAUAUCGUAAGGAAGACCAGUGGCGAAGGCGGGUCUCUGGACAGUUCCUGACGCUGAGGCACGAAGGCCAGGGGAGCAAACGGG